rnacentral:rRNA from 1 species
UAGAGGGAAGUACACGUCGUACAGGUUCCGUAGGGUGACCUGCGCAGAUCAUAU